rnacentral:rRNA from 1 species
AGUAAAUAGAUACCCUGGUAGUCCACGCCGUAAACGAUGAGUACUAGGUGUAGGAGGUAUCGACUCCUUCUGUGCCGCAGUUAAACACAAUAAGUACUCCGCCUGGGAAGUACGAUCGCAAGAUUAAAACUCAAAGGAAUUGACGGGGGCCCGCACAAGCAGCGGAGCAUGUGGUUUAAUUCGAAGCAACGCGAAGAACCUUACCUGGACUUGACAUCCCCUGAAUAGUGCAGAGAUGCAUGAAGCCCUUCGGGGCAGGGAGACAGGUGGUGCAUGGUUGUCGUCAGCUCGUGUCGUGAGAUGUUAGGUUAAGUCCUGCAACGAGCGCAACCCUUAUCAUUAGUUGCUACCAUUAAGUUGAGCACUCUAGUGAGACUGCCCGGGUUAACCGGAGGAAGGUGGGGAUGACGUCAAAUCAUCAUGCCCCUUAUGUCCAGGGCUACACACGUGCUACAAUGGUAGGUACAGAGAGAUGCAAGACCGUGAGGUGGAGCU